CUCUCUCUCUUUCUCGCUCGCUCGCUCGCUCUCACUCGCGCUCGCUCUCUCGCGCUCGCUCUCUCUCGCUCUCUUUCUCUCUCUGGGAGAUGAGUGAGUGUCAGUAGGUGUUGGCAGGUUGGCUGCUGCCUGGCUUAUAGAAGAGCCUCAGUUUGGCGGCGCGGGUCGGCGGCGGGAGAACGAAAUGACGGAACCCGGAAGUCGUGGUGGCCAUAGCCCGUCGUACGGCGGAGACACAUCCCGGGAGUGGGGAGCGGGAGCGAGGAGGAGCGCGCCGCGCGGAGCCUCUGAUAUGCAGCGAGUGCGAUCGGACGGCCCCGGUUGGGGGGGCGAGGGAGGCGGGGGGCGGAAGGGGGAGGGGAGGCAGGAGCCCAGCAGACCCGAGCAAAUCAGCGAGGUUGCUCCUCCGCGGGGAUGGCGCGGGGGGAGGAGGGGACGGAGGAAGAGGAGUGUGUGUAUAUGUGUGUGUGUGUGCGCGUUUGUGUGUGUGAGCUUGUGUGUGUGCGCGCGCGCGCGCACGUGAGGAAAGAGGGAGGGAAAGAGAGAAAGAGAAUGAAGAAGACAGGGAGAGCACAGAGAGGAAAACUGCAGAAAACCACAGGGAAAGUACGGUACAGCUUCAGAUUUUUAAUUUUUUUCUUUAAAACUUCUAGUUCAUUUCCCCAUCACUCCCGGCUCCUCCCUAACGGGGUCGUGUCGGGGACGUUUGGCAUGGCGCUCCUGCUUUUGUUCCUUUUAAUUCCGCGGCCCCCUACUCAUCUACCAGCCGACUGUCGCGCCCCGAAGGCUUUCUGCUAACACUCAGAGGCAGCAGGAUCUGCAGACCGUACCAACGCCCGGCCAGAGUUUUGUUUUUGUUUUUAAGUGGUACUUUCUUCCCUGUGCAGAGCCAGGACCCUUGUUGUCAACAUUCAUUUUUUUACUAGGACAAGAAGAAACCAGCUUAACUCAGAGAGCACUCCCUCCAAGCUGUGCGGACGAGGGCCACCACGGAGAGUCUUUGGGGGCCGCAGAGGAAUCAGGAGGGAGGAAGUGGGCAGAGUCUUUUGGGAACUUGAUGUUGUCUGAUGUUGCCAACGGGUGUGUGUGUGUGUGUGUGUGUGUGUGUGUUGUAUGUGUACACGCGGGCGCGACUGGUGUGCGACUCCGAAGUGGAUCUCACUUAGAGCUGGGAAGCAUGGAAGCGAGCGGGAGAGAGAGGGGGAGAGAGAAAGAGAAAAAAGAUGCCUAGCGUGGAGGACUGGCCCGCACUCCCGGACCAGCUUUGUUGCGGUCGCCCGGGGCGCCGAGGCCAGGGCUCGGUACCGCCGGCUAAUGGCUGUGUUAAUUACAUUGGGCAAUUUAGGGCGGUCUGGAAGAUGGGGCCAAUUCCGAAUGAACUUUUCCGAAAAUGAAAAGAAUCAGUGUGGGGGGGGGGGGGGGGAAGGUAGCUAUCCCACACGGUUUGUGUAGAGAGUAGUUCUAGCCGGUGUCUCUCCGAAUCCCUGGCUGGAGCUGCUCCCAGCCUCACCUCCGCGCCGCGGGUAUCCCGGCGGCUGCGUGUCAAUCACUGGGAGCCCCGAGCUGGGGGCGGAGCUACGGUCUCCCCGCGCGCUCCGCUCUACAUCCCCCGCCGUCCCCUGGCUCCAGGCAGCCCAGCAGCCAGGCCCUGCGCUCGGAGCGCGCCCUCUCUCCCCAACUCCUCGCUCUCGCCGUGGUUCAUGAUCCCAGAGAAUUGAAAACAGACUGUUCCUCAACAGCUGCCUCCUUCUCCAACUUUGAACCCAUUCUGGAGAAUAGAAAGUAGCGUAUCCUCUGCGCUGGGCUUUGACCGACUUCCCGAGAGAUGGGGGCGGGGGGGGGGGGGAGGGGAGGGGAGCACAAGGAGAAUAAAGGAAUAAAGUAGUGUGUGUGUCAGACAAGAGAAAGAGGAAAUGAGAGAGAAUGAGAAUAUGAGAGAGAGUGAGAAAAGGCUGAUAGGCUUUUCUUUUCUUUUUAAAGUCCCCCUUUUAUCUUCUCUGCUUCACUGUAAGCUUUCGGGCAACUCAACUGAGCUUAGAUAGCAGACUGCAGAGACUCCAAGCCGAGUCGGAGAAAUUUGGCCCGAUUUUAAUAGGGUUGGGGAAUGAGCUCGGGAGGUCAAUAAAGCCCUCCAAAAAUGAUGAAUGAUUGAGCACCUGUGAUGAUGAUAGUGAUUACCGGAGCAAUUAAACAGUUUGAUUAAAUGAGCCAUCAUAACAAUGAUGUCUGCGGGAAAUCGGCCCUCACAUAUAAAAGAAAGAUAGUGCGGAGGAACUUGCAGAGGCGAGGGUAGGGCGACGUCAGGGAGUGGGGCCGUGGAUCGCGCAGUAUUGGCCCGGGGUGGCCGCAGCAAGGACAGCCGGGUGCGCGGAGCCUGGGGAUGAGAGUCUAGCCCAGGUUUUCAGUAACUCGUAAGCCAGGCUUCAAGCCAGUAAGAGCCGACUGGUGAGAAACCUGAACGUUGGGAGGAGUGUCCUUCCCCAUCCAUCUCCUCAUUUUUUCUUCCCAGAAGAACGGCAAGAUUAAAAUCAUCCUUCGUAUUUGUUGCUGAGUUGCUCAUGGACAUAUAAGGAAAGGAUUCCCUCCAAGACUGAUAGGAAAGACAGGGCCACUUCUGGACUAUCUGUGAGGAUGUGUUUCUUUCUAUAAUACUGAAGCACUUUUUAUAAACCUAUUGGUGUAUUUAAAUAAAUCUAUUUGGACAUUAAGAGAAGUCAUAUAUACAAAGAUAGCUUUGCUUUAUUCCAGUAAUCCCGAUAUUAGAAAAGAAUUUCACAAUCUGAGAAGCCUUGGCCAAAAAAAAAAAAAAGUUUUCUGCGUGUAUGUGCAUGUCUUCGUGCGCACGUUUAUAAACAUCUCCCAGUCCGCGUUUGCGUGUUACCUCCCUCCUGCCACACACUCGAAGGCAGAGGCGUCGAGGGAUCGCCCCCAGAGAGCUGUGUUUACUUAGGUUUUUUUUUAAUCUCGCCGCCAUGUAUGACAAGUGUUACUUCAAGAAAUUCAUCAGCCUUCUAUAGAUACUUCCAGUUUUGCUGUAAUGAUCUGCAGAAGAGGACUGCCAUCACUUUCUCGCAUCCCAAGGUGUUGCAGGAACUCAACGAAAGGGGAGAGUGGCUGAAACGCUUAAUUACAGUGGGGGAGGGAGGGGCGCGAGGCGGAACCUCGGAAGGGAGCGUGGGGAAGGUCUUUACCUGGCCUGGACCUGAAGAAAGCUGUGAAUCCUCGCGUUGAAAAUUUGAGAAAGGUAGGAUUGCUUUUUUUUUCUUUUUGCAAUGCCUUUGGGGAGAAGUGAUACCCUUGUGUAACAAUUAGCUCAGACAAUAAAAAUAAUUGGAAAAUCAGUUGGAAUUUCUGAGUUUUUAAUUACGUUUAAUUUUGUGCUAAGCCGUAAAAUUACGAAUGCCCCUCAAUUAAACACUCCCCUCUUGUAAAGCGUUUAACAACAAUUAUUCCUUAAUCAGUCUGAAUGUGAGUCACAAAUGAUGCUUUUCCACAUCAAAGGGACGUCCUUCGACGUUACCUUUUAGUCAUAAGUAAGAGGAUUAAUUCCUAUAAUUAGAGGGAUAAAUAUGUGCAUAAAUACAUCUCUCACUCU